rnacentral:rRNA from 1 species
UACGAAGGGGGCUAGCGUUGCUCGGAAUUACUGGGCGUAAAGGGCGCGUAGGCGGACAGUUUAGUCAGAGGUAAAAGCCCAGGGCUCAACCUUGGAACUGCCUUUGAUACUGGCUGUCUUGAGUUCGGGAGAGGUGAGUGGAAUGCCGAGUGUAGAGGUGAAAUCCGUAGAUAUUCGGCGGAACACCAGUGGCGAAGGCGACUCACUGGCCCGAUACUGACGCUGAGGCGCGAAAGCGUGGGGAGCAAACAGG